CCCUUAGAUGCUCUGGGCCGCACGCGCGCUACACUGGUCGAUGCAACGAGUUUCUUUCCUUGGCCGACAGGCCUGGGCAAUCUUUGAACAUCGAUCGUGAUCGGGAUAGAUUCUUGUAAUUUUUGAUCUUAAACGAGGAAUUCCUAGUAAACGCAAGUCAUCAGCUUGCAUUGAUUACGUCCCUGCCCUUUGUACACACCGCCCGUCGCACCUACCGAUUGAAUGGUCCGGUGAAGCCUCGGGAUUGCGAAUGCUUCGUGCGGACGCGAGAACUUGGCUAAACCUUACCAUUUAGAGGAAGGUGAAGUCGUAACA
rnacentral:rRNA from 1 species